AGCAUAUAGCUCAGCAGCAGAGCACAUGCUUAGCAAACAUGAGAUCCGGGGUUCAAUCCCCAGUACUUCUA
rnacentral:tRNA from 1 species